UACGUAGGGUGCAAGCGUUGUCCGGAAUUAUUGGGCGUAAAGAGCUCGUAGGCGGCUUGUCACGUCGACUGUGAAAACCCGGGGCUCAACCCCGGGCCUGCAGUCGAUACGGGCAGACUAGAGUGCGGUAGGGGAGACUGGAAUUCCUGGUGUAGCGGUGAAAUGCGCAGAUAUCAGGAGGAACACCGGUGGCGAAGGCGGGUCUCUGGGCCGUAACUGACGCUGAGGAGCGAAAGCGUGGGGAGCGAACAGG
rnacentral:rRNA from 1 species